UACGAAGGGGGCUAGCGUUGUUCGGAAUUACUGGGCGUAAAGCGCACGUAGGCGGAUCGAUUAGUCAGGGGUGAAAGCCCAGAGCUCAACUCUGGAACUGCCUUUGAUACUGUCGAUCUGGAGCAGAGUAGAGGUGAGUGGAAUUCCGAGUGUAGAGGUGAAAUUCGUAGAUAUUCGGAGGAACACCAGUGGCGAAGGCGGCUCACUGGACUCUUGCUGACGCUGAGGUGCGAAAGCGUGGGGAGCAAACAGG
rnacentral:rRNA from 1 species